GAUUCGGAUUGUGGAAAAAUCUGCCUGAGAAGGAGCAAGGCCAGUAGAAGAGGGGCAGGGAGAACGGGCAAAUUUCCCUGUGGGGAGCGGAUCUGGGGACUCGAGGGUUUCCCGGCAGCCGCUCCGCAGGCCGGUCUCCCACGCGUAAGCGCGGCAUGAAGAGAAUCUACUGACCACAUUGUGCUUCCUAUAGCAAUGCAUCCUGUAACCUUUGAGACGGAAGGACAUUGUACUACAGAAUAUUCUGCCACUGAUACAAUUCAUGACAAUAAGUGCUCCCUUUUUUCAGUUUGAAAAAAAAAAUGAAUGUAUUUUUUCUUAAUGGUUUUGAUGUGUAAAGAAUUUAGAUUUUUUUGUUUUGUUUUUUCUCCUGCAGUAUUGUGAAGACUCCCAAGCUAGGCUAGUGGAGAGGCCACUCCCUGGGGGCGGAGUGAAGAACUCAGCCGAAAUCCAAGAUCAAAACCUCCAUGACAUGGCUCCAAUCAAGCUAUCCCAGCGAAGGCCCCCACAUCACGGAGCAGAGAUAAGAAUCCCAGAUUCCUAACCCACACUAUUGUGAGCAAAUUAAAUGGUGACUGUUUUAAGCCAUUUGAUAUGGGGCCAGUAUGCUGUGUAGCAACAGAAACUGAGACAAGCACUAUAUAUCACACAGGUUGCUAAAUAAACAUGUCCCAAAUGUUA